rnacentral:tRNA from 1 species
GCCGGCGUGGCGAAAUUGGCGAUACGCGCCGCUUUUAGGUGGCGGUGCCCGAAAGGGCGUGCGGGUUCGAGUCCCGCCGCCGGCA